rnacentral:misc_RNA from 1 species
GAACGCACCUUGCACCCUUUGGUAUUCCGAAGGGUAUGCUCGUUUGAGUGUCAUUGUACUCUCACACUCUCUAAUGCUUGCAUUAGGAGCGGUGGACUUGGGUGUUGCUGCUUCACGGUGGCUCACCUGAAAUGCAGUAGUGCACCUCCUGGUUGGACAUAGUACGGCGUGAUAAGUGUCUUCGCCGGCGCCUCGAAAGAGGGUGGCCGAUUGGGAGCUCUGGGCUUCUAACUGUCUUAGGACACUGUCUGACAACUUGACCUCAAAUCGAGUAGGACUACCCGCUGAACUUA